AUCAAACUCUUUUCAAGUAACUAUGUACCAGAACAGAGCUCAAGAAUAUAAGAAUGAAAAAAACCAUGCAGCACUAACAAACAUAAACAAAAAAUAUAUAUACAUCAAUCAUACAAAGAAGCAGGAAAAUAUCCAAAAUGAGAAGAAAAACCAGUCAAAACCAACCCAGCAAUGACAUAGAUGACAUUAAAACAGUUAUUAUAUGCUUGUGAUCAAUAUGUUGAAGAAGCUAAGAUUAAGAGUUAGGAAAAUGGUCAGAUGGUAAAUAUUUUUGUUUUGUGUCAUAUACAACUUCUGGUAUAACUCAACUCUGCUGGAGCACAAAAGCAGCCAUAAUGUGUCAACAAAUUAGUGUUUCUGUGUAAUGAAUUACAGAUCUAUUUCUAAAGCAGACAUAGUGGGUUGGAUUUGACCUACCAGUGGUAAUAAUAAACAACUAAAUAACAAUUUAUAAUUAUUCUGUAUCUCUGAACAAGAGGAGAGAUGGAACAGUUUAAUAAAGACAUGGAAGAUACACAUUUUUAAAAAGAGACACAAAUGAAUUUUCCAGAGAUGAAAACAACAAUAAGGUGCAAAAAAUACACUUGGUGUUAAUUUCAGAGUAGAUGAAGGAGAGAAUAGUGAACUUGAAGACAUAGCAGUAAAAACUAUCUAAAGUGAAGAAACAGGAAAAGUCUGGAAAAAAGGACAAGCAUUAGUGAGUGAGCUGUGGUCUGUCUUCAAGCAUGCUUAUUUACAUGUAAUUGGAAUCAUUGAAGGAGAGGGUGUGACUCAAGUGAUGUAUGAGGAAAUAAUGGCUGAAUUUUUUUUUUAAACAUUGUUAAAAACUUUUAAACCACAGAUCCAAGAAACUCAGUAAAUCCCAAGUGUGAAACUACACAGAAGCACAUCAGAAUCAAAUUGAUUAAAACCAGUGAUAGAGAAAAAUCUUAAAAGCAACAGAGACAAAAGACAAAUUAUUUACAAAAGAGCAAAGGUAAGGAAGGAUGAUAGCAAGUUUUUCAUCUGAACCUUUGCUAUGGAUAAGACAGUGAAGCAAGAGCUUUCAGGUGCUCAAAGGGUUUGGAAAAAUGCCUGUCGACCUAGAGUUCUCUACCCACUGAAGGCAAAAUAAAACUUUUUAAGACAUACUAGAAAUGGAAAGAAUUUUU
rnacentral:lncRNA from 1 species